CCAGAAGUGUUCAGCAUGAUCUGAAAUUGUAGACUUUUCAGCAAAUGGGGCCGAUUCUCAAGGACAAUCAAUCAAGAGCAAUCAAUGCAAUCAACAAAGGCCUAGCUCGAGAUAAUGAGGAGAUUGGAAUUCGCAGCUUGACCAUGAAGACACCACUGUGAUAAUGACACAUGAAACAAGGUGAACCCCGCUCACGCGUCACGCACUCACCUCGAUCCACUAAUAGGUCUUAAUGACUUUGCAAGAAAAAGAAGCUGCGGAUUGUGCUGCAGAGGACCCAAUCAGUAGGAAAGGUGUAAAACAUGAGUGAAUACAGAACGUUUCUUCCACGGAGGGCGUCUGGCCUGAUGUGAUGUGUGAUCAGUUCCAGACUUCAGAGGAAUCUUUCAGACUUAGAAACCUCAAGCCAAAUUGCUCUGACAUGGUAGAACACCUGGAUAUUGUAAGAAUUAAGCUGAAGUUGCCUCUGUGUGUGUGUGUGGGGGGGGGUGAAUGUUAAACCCUGUCCUUAAGGAAUUUGCUGGGGUGAAGUUGUGAGGAACUGGAGUUCACGAUGCGAAGGUCACUGAACAUGUGCGAGCCCUCAGAAAUGGUGGUAGGAUCAUCCGUGAAAGCCGUUCCCAUGUGGGGCUUCCCAGCUGUGAGACAGAAAAUAAAGCUAUUUCAGGGUGGAAGGACAGAAAUCGGGCUAGCAGAAACAUGAGGCAGAUCCAGUCAAAACUGGCCAGCCAGCUUUGUGAAGGAAACAAACAGAAUUUCUCAAACAAGAAAGGCAAUAAUUGGAGCUGGCCAUGCUCGCACACAGGCCUGGCACGUGGGAGAUGGAGGAAGGAGAGUCAGGAAUUCGAGAUCAUCUUUGGCUUCAGAGUGAAUUCGGAGUCCGCUUGAUUCUGUCUCAGAAGAAUCAAAACUGGGCUGGAAAGAUGGCUCAGAGGUUAAGAGCCCUUGUUGCUCUUGCAGAGGACCUGGAUUUUGUUCCUAGUCCUCAGAU